rnacentral:rRNA from 1 species
AGAAAUAACAAUACGGGGCUUAAUGUCUUGUAAUUGGAAUGAUGGGAAUUUAAACCUCUUCCAGAGUAUCAAUUGGAGGGCAAGUCUGGUGCCAGCAGCCGCGGUAAUUCCAGCUCCAAUAGCGUAUAUUAAAAUUGUUGCAGUUAAAAAGCUCGUAGUUGAAUUUCUGCUGCAUUUCAUUUCUCUUUCUGAGUUUGUUUUUGCGGCUUAUUUCGGUUUGAUUUUUUCUUUCCGGAUGAUUACUUUGAGAAAAUUAGAGUGCUCAAAGCAGGCUUUUGCCUUGAAUAGUUUAGCAUGGAAUAAUAAAGUAGGACUUUGGUUCUAUUUUGUUGGUUUUAGGUACCAAAGUAAUGGUUAAUAGGAACAGUUGGGGGCAUUCGUAUUUAACUGUCAGAGUGRAAAUUCUUAG